rnacentral:rRNA from 1 species
CCAGACUCCUACGGGAGGCAGCAGUGAGGAAUAUUGGUCAAUGGGCGGGAGCCUGAACCAGCCAAGCCGCGUGAAGGAAGAAGGCGCCAGGCGUCGUAAACUUCUUUUGUCGGGGAACAAAGGGCGCCACGUGUGGCGUUGUGAGUGUACCCGAAGAAAAAGCAUCGGCUAACUCCGUGCCAGCAGCCGCGGUAAUACGGAGGAUGCGAGCGUUAUCCGGAUUUAUUGGGUUUAAAGGGUGCGCAGGCGGAGGCACAAGUCAGGGGUAAAAUCGCGGGGCUCAACCCCGCUCCGCCGUUGAAACUGUGUCCCUUGAGUGCGCGAAGGGUAGGCGGAAUGCGUGGUGUAGCGGUGAAAUGCAUAGAUAUCACGCAGAACUCCGAUCGCGAAGGCAGCCUACCGGCGCGCAACUGACGCUCAUGCACGAAAGCGUGGGUAUCGAACAGGAUUAGAUACCCCUGUA